CAUGAAGACAAUUCUUAUCGUAGUACGGGCGCGCAUGGGCAGGAUGGUGUAACCAUCCGGCGACAGCCUCCCAUGCGCGACACACAGGCUCCCUCGGGGGCCUUUUUUAUUGCCUCUAA
rnacentral:sRNA from 1 species